GCUGAAACACUUUCAUGCUUGGGAUUGUGAACUGAAACUGUUCACAUGAACCUGGAAUUCCCAGUAAGUGCGAGUCAUUAACUCGCAUUGAUUACGUCCCUGCCCUUUGUACACACCGCCCGUCGCUACUACCGAUUGAAUUAUUUAGUGAGGUCUCCGGACGUGAUCGCUGUGACGCCUUUUAAGGUUUUACGGUUGUUUCGCAAAAGUUGACCGAACUUGAUUAUUUAGAGGAAGUAAAAGUCGUAACAAGGUUUCCGUAGGUGAACCUGCGGAAGGAACAA
rnacentral:rRNA from 1 species